UACGAAGGGGGCUAGCGUUGCUCGGAAUCACUGGGCGUAAAGGGUGCGUAGGCGGGUCUUUAAGUCAGGGGUGAAAUCCUGGAGCUCAACUCCAGAACUGCCUUUGAUACUGAGGAUCUUGAGUUCGGGAGAGGUGAGUGGAACUGCGAGUGUAGAGGUGAAAUUCGUAGAUAUUCGCAAGAACACCAGUGGCGAAGGCGGCUCACUGGCCCGAUACUGACGCUGUAGCGCGAAAGCGUGGGGAGCGAACCGG
rnacentral:rRNA from 1 species